rnacentral:rRNA from 1 species
ACUCAAAGGAAUUGACGGGGACCCGCACAAGCGGUGGAACAUGUGGUUUAAUUCGAUGCUACGCGAAAAACCUCACCAAGGCUUGACAUACAGGAAGUAGUGAACCGAAAGGGGAACCACCCGUUAAGUCGGGAGCCUGAACAGGUGCUGCAUGGCUGUCGUCAGCUCGUGUCGUGAGAUGUUGGGUUAAGUCCCGCAACGAGCGCAACCAUUGCCUUAUGUUGCUAUCACAUGAACUUUGUUCGUGUGUGCACUCUUAAGGGACCGCCCGGGAUAACCGGGAGGAAGGUGGAGAUGACGUCAAGUCAGUACGGCCCUUAUGCCUUGGGCUACACACGUGUUACAAUGGCAGGUACAGAGGGUCGCCAACCCGCAAGGGGGAGCUAAUCUCAAAAAACCUGCCCCAGUUCGGAUAGCAGUCUGCAAUUCGACUGCUUGAAGCCGGAAUCGCUAGUAAUGGGAGAUCAGCACGCUCCCGUGAAUACGUUCCCGGGUCUUGCACACACCGCCCGU